rnacentral:rRNA from 1 species
AUUGAACGCUGGCGGCAGGCCUAACACAUGCAAGUCGAACGGUAACAGGAAGCAGCUUGCUGCUUCGCUGACGAGUGGCGGACGGGUGAGUAAUGUCUGGGAAACUGCCUGAUGGAGGGGGAUAACUACUGGAAACGGUAGCUAAUACCGCAUAACGUCGCAAGACCAAAGAGGGGGACCUUCGGGCCUCUUGCCAUCGGAUGUGCCCAGAUGGGAUUAGCUAGUAGGUGGGGUAACGGCUCACCUAGGCGACGAUCCCUAGCUGGUCUGAGAGGAUGACCAGCCACACUGGAACUGAGACACGGUCCAGACUCCUACGGGAGGCAGCAGUGGGGAAUAUUGCACAAUGGGCGCAAGCCUGAUGCAGCCAUGCCGCGUGUAUGAAGAAGGCCUUCGGGUUGUAAAGUACUUUCAGCGGGGAGGAAGGCGAUAAGGUUAAUAACCUUGUCGAUUGACGUUACCCGCAGAAGAAGCACACGCUAACUCC